rnacentral:rRNA from 1 species
UACAGAGGUCUCAAGCGUUGUUCGGAUUCAUUGGGCGUAAAGGGUGCGUAGGCGGCGCGGUAAGUCGGGUGUGAAAUCUGGAGCUUAACUCCGAAACUGCAUUCGAUACUGCCGUGCUUGAGGACUGGAGAGGAGACUGGAAUUUACGGUGUAGCGGUGAAAUGCGUAGAUAUCGUAAGGAAGACCAGUGGCGAAGGCGGGUCUCUGGACAGUUCCUGACGCUGAGCACGAAGGCCAGGGGGAGCAAACGGG